ensembl:rRNA 5S_rRNA 5S ribosomal RNA
AAAAGUGGCCAUGUCACCCUGCAGCCCAAGACCGGUUACUCACUGAAGCUAAGCAGGGCUGAGUCUGGUCAGUACCUGGAUGGGAGACCACUAGGGAACACUAAGUUGCUGUUGUAA